rnacentral:rRNA from 1 species
GACGAACGCUGGCGGCGUGCUUAACACAUGCAAGUCGAACGAUGAAGAAAAGAAUCGAUGCUUCGGCAGAAAUUCAUUUCGGAUUAGUGGCAGACGGGUGAGUAACGCGUGAGCAACCUACCUCUUACAAAGGGAUAGCCUCGGGAAACCGGGAUUAAUACCAUAUAACAUUGCGACGAAGCAUUUCGAUGCAAUCAAAGCUACGGCGGUAAGAGAUGGGCUCGCGUCCCAUUAACCGGAUGGUGAGGUAACGGCUCACCAUAGUGACGAUGGGUAACCGGCCUGGGAGGGUGAACGGUCACACUGGAACUGAGACACGGUCCAGACUCCUACGGGAGGCAGCAGUGGGGAAUAUUGCACAAUGGAGGGAACUCUGAUGCAGCGACGCCGCGUGAGUGAUGAAGGAAUUCGUUUCGUAAAACUCUGUUCUAUGGGAAGAAAAGGACUGUACCAUAGGAGAAAGCGCCGGCUAAAUACGUG